rnacentral:lncRNA from 1 species
CAGCAGUCCCCAAGUCAUUGGAGAAGGGGAGGCCUUGAUGAAGAGAGAAGGAAGGUGUAGAUUGUUUUUUAUUUUUAUUUUUUGGUUCCAGGGAUUGAACUCAGGACCUUGUACUUGUGAGGCAGGUGGCAGAACCUCUGAGCUAAAUCCCCGGCCCUUAGACUAAGUUUUUGAAAAGCAUGUUCAACUGGGAAAAUGAAGAUUAAGAGAAAGAGAAAAUAAAGUAGAAAAAAAAUGCAGGGAAAACAGGAGUGAUAGAGAUGGAAAAAAGGGGCCACAGAGUAAAUCAUCCUUAUAUUGCUUAGUUCAUACUAGCAGAAUUAGUUCAUACUGACCAAAACAUGCUAAGGAAGUCUUAAUGAUGCCUUACUGUUCCUCCACUUCCUGUUUGGGGAACUCUGGUAUGCUUAGCAAAUUGUCUUGGUCACUGUUGUGAAAAGAUUUCUUUUUCUGUACAGCACGAUACCAGCUAUAACCUCCAUGAACUGGCUAUUUGAAAGAAGUCAUCCUGCAGGGAUUUCACACUUCUUCCAAGGAAAGAAGAGAAUUAACAGGAAACACAAGAUGAGAAACGAAGGCAGCAUAUUAUACCAGCUUACGUUCCAAACAAAGUUAACACCAGUGCAUCGAGGUUCCAGGUGAGGAAGUAGGCCAAGAGCGUGCAGGUGUGAGCAGUGCAACUGCAGUGGACUUAUGUCCCAGCCAGCCUCUGCCAGACGAGGGAGGAACCAGGACUGCACUCCCUACGGGAGACUGUGUCCCAGCUCUGGGCUUGCACAGUGUCAUCCUCUGAUCACUCCAGUCACUGUUUCGGGAGCAGAGAAGACUUCACUUCUGCAGUGAAGAAAUAGGAUGCUACAGACCAGCAGGACAUCAGGGUCAGAUGGGUACGAGUGGAGGUCCUGAAGUCAGAACCUGCAGUUUCUCAUCUCAACCACAGAGUGCUAACAGCAGCAGUAGAACUCACACAAGCGAUCUGAUCUCGCUAAGCCUCAGCUUAUCUGCCAGCAUUGGUUUUCAUAGUACGCACCUC